rnacentral:rRNA from 1 species
UACAGAGGGGGCAAGCGUUGUUCGGAAUUACUGGGCGUAAAGGGCGCGUAGGCGGCCUGCUAAGUCGAACGUGAAAUCCCUGGGCUCAACCCAGGAACUGCGUCCGAUACUGGAUGGCUAGAGGUUGGGAGAGGGAUGCGGAAUUCCCGGUGUAGUGGUGGAAUGCGUAGAGAUCGGGAGGAACACCAGUGGCGAAAGCGGCUCUCUGGGCAGUAACUGACGCUGAGGAGCGAAAGCGUGGGGAGCGAACAGG